UGAGAAGGAUGUGGACAGCAUAGAACAGUCUCUUUUACAGUCUUCUCUCUCUGUCUCUCUAGAACCUAACCAGGGAGUUAUUCUUGUCAUCCUCCGAGGCCAAAUAACCCAUAGCCUGGAGUUUGUUUGCAGAAGAGUGUCCCUCAAGUCUCACUUGCUGACUGUAGUUUAGGAGAAUGAGCAUGUGCAGAACAAUGUGGAUUAUAUCAUUAAGCAAAUUAUCAGUCCCGCAGUGGCCAACUUUCGUCCAGGAGCCAUCUGUGAGAAAAUAUAAUGGUCCCUCUGCUCUACUCCUCCACCUCAGAAGCUCUUCCUACCUGUCAGUAGACUAGAAAUAGAGCCAUAGUCUGCUGAAUUGGAGCAGCCUUUAGAAGGUAAUCUAGACUUUCGCCUCCUGCAAAUUGUCUUUGAGGUUCUGCUUAAAUUUCAAAUAGC
rnacentral:lncRNA from 1 species